rnacentral:rRNA from 1 species
AGCGAACGCUGGCGGCAGGCUUAACACAUGCAAGUCGAGCGGGCGUAGCAAUACGUCAGCGGCAGACGGGUGAGUAACACGUGGGAACAUACCUUUUGGUUCGGAACAACACAGGGAAACUUGUGCUAAUACCGGAUAAGCCCUUACGGGGAAAGAUUUAUCGCCGAAAGAUUGGCCCGCGUCUGAUUAGCUAGUUGGUGAGGUAACGGCUCACCAAGGCGACGAUCAGUAGCUGGUCGAGAGGAUGAUCAGCCACAUUGGGACUGAGACACGGGCCCAAACUCCUACGGGAGGCAGCAGUGGGGAAUAUUGGACAAUGGGCGCAAGCCUGAUCCAGCCAUGCCGCGUGAGUGAUGAAGGCCCUAGGGUUGUAAAGCUCUUUU